UACGUAGGGUGCAAGCGUUAAUCGGAAUUACUGGGCGUAAAGCGUGCGCAGGCGGUUAUGUAAGACAGAUGUGAAAUGCCCGGGCUUAACCUGGGAACUGCAUUUGUGACUGCAUGGCUAGAGUUUGGCAGAGGGGGGUAGAAUUCCACGUGUAGCAGUGAAAUGCGUAGAUAUGUGGAGGAACACCGAUGGCGAAGGCAGCCCCCUGGGUCAAGACUGACGCUCAUGCACGAAAGCGUGGGGAGCAAACAGGG
rnacentral:rRNA from 1 species